rnacentral:rRNA from 1 species
UACGAAGGGGGCUAGCGUUGUUCGGAAUUACUGGGCGUAAAGCGCGCGCAGGCGGUCCUUCAAGUCAGAGGUGAAAGCCCAGAGCUCAACUCUGGAAUGGCCUUUGAGACUAGAGGACUUGGGUACGGGAGAGGUGAGUGGAAUUCCGAGUGUAGAGGUGAAAUUCGUAGAUAUUCGGAAGAACACCAGUGGCGAAAGGCGGCUCACUGGCCCGUUACCGACGCUCAGGCGCGACAGCGUGGGGAGGCAAAC